UAUCCUGGCUCAGAGUGAACGCUGGCGGCAGGCCUAAUCAUGCAAGUCGGACGGCAGCACAGUGGAGCUUGCUCCAUGGGUGGCGAGUGGCGGACGGGUGAGGAAUACAUGGGAAUCUGCCCAGUCGUGGGGAUAACGUAGGGAAACUUACGCUAAUACCGCAUGCGCCCUUCGGGGGAAAGCCGGGGACCUUCGGGCCUGGCGCGAUUGGAUGAGCCCAUGUCGGAUUAGCUAGUUGGCGGGUAAAGGCCCACCAAGGCGACGAUCCGUAGCUGGUCUGAGAGGAUGAUCAGCCACACUGGGACUGAGACACGGCCCAGACUCCUACGGGAGGCAGCAGUAGGGAAUAUUGGACAAUGGGGGCAACCCUGAUCCAGCCAUGCCGCGUGAGUGAAGAAGGCCUUCGGGUUGUAAAGCUCUUUUGUCCGGGAAGAAAAGCAUCUGGCUAAUACCUGGAUGUGUUGACGGUACCGGAAGAAUAAGCACCGGCUAACUUCGUG
rnacentral:rRNA from 1 species